UACGUAGGGUGCGAGCGUUGUCCGGAAUUAUUGGGCGUAAAGAGCUCGUAGGCGGUGUGUCACGUCGGCCGUGAAAACCUGCAGCUUAACUGUGGGCGUGCGGUCGAUACGGGCAUCACUGGAGUUCGGCAGGGGAGACUGGAAUUCCUGGUGUAGCGGUGAAAUGCGCAGAUAUCAGGAGGAACACCGGUGGCGAAGGCGGGUCUCUGGGCCGAUACUGGCGCUGAGGAGCGAAAGCGUGGGGAGCGAACAGG
rnacentral:rRNA from 1 species